rnacentral:rRNA from 1 species
GGUUAAGCGACUAAGCGUACACGGUGGAUGCCCUGGCAGUCAGAGGCGAUGAAGGACGUGCUAAUCUGCGAUAAGCGUCGGUAAGGUGAUAUGAACCGUUAUAACCGGCGAUUUCCGAAUGGGGAAACCCAGUGUGAUUCGUCACACUAUCAUUAACUGAAUCCAUAGGUUAAUGAGGCGAACCGGGGGAACUGAAACAUCUAAGUACCCCGAGGAAAAGAAAUCAACCGAGAUUCCCCCAGUAGCGGCGAGCGAACGGGGAGCAGCCCAGAGCCUGAAUCAGUGUGUGUGUUAGUGGAAGCGUCUGGAAAGGCGCGCGAUACAGGGUGACAGCCCCGUACACAAAAAUGCACAUACUGUGAGCUCGAUGAGUAGGGCGGGACACGUGGUAUCCUGUCUGAAUAUGGGGGGACCAUCCUCCAAGGCUAAAUACUCCUGACUGACCGAUAGUGAACCAGUACCGUGAGGGAAAGGCGAAAAGAACCCCGGCGAGGGGAGUGAAAAAGAACCUGAAACCGUGUACGUACAAGCAGUGGGAGCCUCUUUAUGGGGUGACUGCGUACCUUUUGUAUAAUGGGUCAGCGACUUAUAUUCUGUAGCAAGGUUAACCGAAUAGGGGAGCCGAAGGGAAACCGAGUCUUAACUGGGCGUUAAGUUGCAGGGUAUAGACCCGAAACCCGGUGAUCUAGCCAUGGGCAGGUUGAAGGUUGGGUAACACUAACUGGAGGACCGAACCGACUAAUGUUGAAAAAUUAGCGGAUGACUUGUGGCUGGGGGUGAAAGGCCAAUCAAACCGGGAGAUAGCUGGUUCUCCCCGAAAGCUAUUUAGGUAGCGCCUCGUGAAUUCAUCUCCGGGGGUAGAGCACUGUUUCGGCAAGGGGGUCAUCCCGACUUACCAACCCGAUGCAAACUGCGAAUACCGGAGAAUGUUAUCACGGGAGACACACGGCGGGUGCUAACGUCCGUCGUGAAGAGGGAAACAACCCAGACCGCCAGCUAAGGUCCCAAAGUCAUGGUUAAGUGGGAAACGAUGUGGGAAGGCCCAGACAGCCAGGAUGUUGGCUUAGAAGCAGCCAUCAUUUAAAGAAAGCGUAAUAGCUCACUGGUCGAGUCGGCCUGCGCGGAAGAUGUAACGGGGCUAAACCAUG